rnacentral:rRNA from 1 species
AAACGAUGUCGAUUUGGAGGUUGUGCCCAUGAGACGUGGCUUCCGGAGCUAACGCGUUAAAUCGACCGCUGGGGAGUACGGCCGCAAGGUUAAAACUCAAAUGAAUUGACGGGGGCCCGCACAAGCGGUGGAGCAUGUGGUUUAAUUCGAUGCAACGCGAAGAACCUUACCUACUCUUGACAUCCAGAGAACUUUCCAGAGAUGGAUUGGUGCCUUCGGGAACUCUGAGACAGGUGCUGCAUGGCUGUCGUCAGCUCGUGUUGUGAAAUGUUGGGUUAAGUCCCGCAACGAGCGCAACCCUUAUCCUUUGUUGCCAGCGGUUCGGCCGGGAACUCAAAGGAGACUGCCAGUGAUAAACUGGAGGAAGGUGGGGAUGACGUCAAGUCAUCAUGGCCCUUACGAGUAGGGCUACACACGUGCUACAAUGGCGUAUACAAAGAGAAGCGACCUCGCGAGAGCAAGCGGACCUCAUAAAGUACGUCGUAGUCCGGAUUGGAGUCUGCAACUCGACUCCAUGAAGUCGGAAUCGCUAGUAAUCGUAGAUCAGAAUGCUACGGUGAAUACGUUCCCGGGCCUUGUACACACCGCCCGUCACACCAUGGGAGUGGGUUGCAAAAGAAGUAGGUAGCUUAACCUUCGGGAGGGCGCUUACCACUUUGUGAUUCAUGACUGGGGUGAAGUCGUAACAAGGUAACCA